GGUCCGGCCCCAUGCAAGGCGACCCGCCGGCAACGGGUCAGGCUGGAAACAGAGCAGCCCACCAGUGUGGCCGUCUGUGCCGUGGGUCUCCGGGCCGUU
rnacentral:SRP_RNA from 1 species